rnacentral:rRNA from 1 species
CCAGGGUGCCAUAGCAGCCUGAGGGUGCCCCAGCUCAGAAGCUAAGCAGGAAGAGGCCUGGCUGAGAAUUGGAUGGUGACAGCCUGAGAAGACCAGGUGCUGGA